UACGGAGGGUGCAAGCGUUAUCCGGAUUUAUUGGGUUUAAAGGGUGCGUAGGUGGCUUGGUAAGUUUGAUGUGAAAUCUCCGGGCUUAACCCGGAAAUGGCAUUGAAUACUAUUGAGCUGGAGGUUUGGAGGGGGGACUGGAAUUCUCGGUGUAGCAGUGAAAUGCGUAGAUAUCGAGAGGAACACCAGUGGCGAAGGCGAGUCCCUGGACAACACCUGACACUGAGGCACGAAAGCUAGGGGAGCAAACAGG
rnacentral:rRNA from 1 species